rnacentral:lncRNA from 1 species
CCCGCCCCUUACAUGGGUCUCUUUUGAGCAGCAGACGCGCCGGCUUCGAGCAUCCGUGGCGGGGCAGGCGAGAGGACCCGGGGCUGCGGCUCCACCGGCCGUGGCACAGCCCGCCUGUGACAUGGCCAGCUUCGAAGAGUACUGGGGAUCAAACUCCGGACCUUGAAUUUUCAAGGCAGGCAUGGUGUCACUGAGCUAAAUCCCUGGCCUUUUUUUUUUUUGAGACGAGGUCUCGCGAUGUAGUCCAGGCUGGCCCCAAACUCAAAGCAAUCCUCCUGUUUCAGCUUCCUGAGUACUGGGAUUACAUGCAUGUGCCACCAGGCCCACCUCGAUAUUUCUUAUUCUGUGGAGUUUUACACAUUUGUGAAAGGACAGAAAAAGGGAUCUCUUUCUACUCAGCCAUUACCAAGUUGCAACGGUCGUCAACCUAUGACCCAGUUUAUUCAUCUGCGCCCCUCCCAUCUGCAUGGAUUAUUUAGAGCACAUCCUGGACAUUUCACUCUCACAUUUGGAAUUCUGUUUGUUUGUCUUUCCUUCCUCCCUUUCUUUCAUUGUGCUAGGUAUUGAACCCAGGGCUUCACGCAUGGUAGGCAAGUGCUGUAGCAUUGAGCUGCACUCCUAGACUCUUAAAGAAACUGUCUUGAGAUGGUCUUUCUAAAUUGUUCAAGCUCGUAUGGACCUUGUGAUCCUCCUGCCUCAGCCUCCUCAGCAGCUGGGACAACAGGCACGUGCCACCAUGCCACACAGAUCCUGUGAUUUCUUUGGGUGUCUGAGUGGCAAGCAGUUCAAGGUCCUUUUGGGGAGGGGAUGUCUUUUGGGAAGGUACUGAGAUUUCAUUUACUAAUUUUACUUAACUUUUGAAGAACUUGUAGAAUAUUAUACCAUAUUUCCCCCCACAUAAAACCAGGUCCUAUAUUAAUUUUUGUUCCAAAAGAUACAGUAGGGCUUAUUUUCAGAGCUCUCAUUUUUUUCACGUUCAGCGGUUUCCAUCUUUUCACCUACAGCCUUGUUCUUUUCUGGAGCAUCUUCCCAACUCUCCAAACCCUGAACUCUGGCCUGAAUUUUUUGCGACUCAUUUCCUGUAGAACCAUCGGCCCCAGUCCCUCCUGUCCAGCAGUAGAGCUCUCCUUAAAUGAGCCCUUCUUGUCCAUGUAGCCUGCUCCUAGUGCAUCGGCAACACAGCUGUCAGUGAUUUUAUGGCAUGAAUUCUUCACCCAAGUCAUGACCUCCUGCCUGCUGGGCUUUACAAAGUUUCCAUUAAAUCAAGUGUUAACUGAAGACUCAGAUGACAGGAGUGGCAACAAAAAUGAUGACAGUUACGAUUGACUGCCCACGCCUAUAAUCCUAGCACUUGGGAGGCUGAGGCAGGAGGAUCACAAGCUCAAGGCCAGCCUGAACUGCAUAGUGAGAGCUUGUCUCAAAAAAAGAAAGAGGGCCGGGGAUUUAGCUCAGUGGUUCCGCUGCCUGACUCACAAGUGCAAGGUCCUGAGUUCGAUCUCUAGCACUGGAAAAAACAAAACAGGAUGUGUUCAAAAAAAGAAAGAAUUAUAGUCCACACAUAAGCGUUGAAAAAUUACAGGCAACAAAAUUCAGAGAACGUUUCUUUAUUUCAUGCAAGUGCAGAAAGUACGUAGGUUGCAACAAACGAUGUAUUGAUUGAUGAAGAUUUGUAUUAGACACAGCCAGGUCUGUUACCAAGUGCACACAUUAUUCAUGUGUUGUGUGUGCUCCAAUUGGUCAUUUGGCAAUAAGUCGGGAGCUCUUUUUUUUUUUUUUUUUUUUUUUUGUGGAACCGGAGAUUGAACUCAGGACCUUGGGCAUGCCAGGCAGGCGCUGGCACCACUGAGCUAAACCUCUGGCCCUUGGAGUUCAUUUGUUUACAUAGCUGUCUACUUCACAUUCAAAGGCA